AUCUUACAUAUUAUAUUUAAAUAUAAUUUAUUAUAAAAUUUAUUAUAAUAUUUAAUAUUUAAAUAUAAAUAAUAUGUAUUAAUAUAGUACAAUUAAUAAUUUUAUAAUAAAAAUAAUAUAUUAUAAUAUAUAACAUAUUAUAUUUAUAUAAUUUAGUUUUAAUUUAAUUUAUAAUUUUAAUAAAGUUUCAAAUUAAACAUUGGAAUAGUAUUAUUCCAUCAAAAUGGUGGAAUAGUAAAUCCCUUGCUAUUCCGGGAUAGCCGGGAAUAGCAAGGUUUGACCGGAAUAAAAUACCCCGGCCAAAAAUUAUUUCGUUGGCGGAAUAGCAGGGAUAAUUUUCGUUAUCCCCGCUUAUACCGCCAACAAAACGGGGCUUAGGAGUUUAAGGAGUACAAUGAAAAUAAAUCUAAGGUACCGUUUGGUUCUGGGAUAAGUAAAAAGUGGUUAUUUCAGGGAUAUGUAUAAAUUGAGAUAGAAGCAGGGAUUAGAUUAAUUUUGCGUUUUGAUGAAAAUUAGGUUAUUUCUAAAAAUAAGAAAAAUAGCAUUUGAUUAGGUAGGAUGGAUUAAGAAUUAAAGUGGGUAGUUAUAAAUAAAAAAUAAUGAUAUUACCCUUCUUAUUAUAUUUAAAUUUAAAAAUUUAAAUUAUAUAUAUUUUUAAAUUUAAAAUUUUAACUUUUAAAUUUCAAAUUUUGAAAUUAAAAGUUUAAAAUUUAAAAUCUCAAAUUUUAAAUUAAAAAUUUUAACUUUUAAAUUUUAAAUUUAAAACUUUAAAUUUAAGAUCAAAUUUAAAUUUGAAAAAUAUAAAAUAUCAAAUUUUAAACUUGAAAAAUAUAAAAUAUCAAAUUUUAAACUUGAAAAAUAUAAAAUAUCAAAUUUAAAAUUUAAAAUUUAAAAUUUUGAAAAUAAGAAUAAGGUUAAUAAAAAUAAUUUAUUGUAAUAAAUUUAUAAAUUUGAUAAGAAUAAUUUUUUUAAUAAAUUUAUAAUUUUAUUAUUAUUAAUAAAUUUAUAAUUUUUAAAAUUCUACUUAACUUAAAUUUAAUAAAAAAUAAUAUUUAUAAUAUUUAUUAUAAUAUUUAAUAUUUAAAUAUAAAUAAUAUGUAUUAAUAUAGUACAAUUAAUAAUUUUAUAAUAAAAAUAUAUAUUAUAAUGUAUAAUAUAUUAUAUUUAUAUAAUUUAGUUUUAAUUUAAUUUAUAAUUUUAAUAAAAUUUGAAAUUUAUAUAACGACCCAGUCCACUAGCAACAAUAACUCGUUUGGCCCAAACAUCGACCCAAAAUACUUAAACCCAGUUAUUAUUAUUAGUGUCUAAGUCUCUUACAUACCCAAUCACAUCUCCAUUCCUAUCCAAUGUGGAUUGUUGGGGUGUGACAGACUCCCCCCGUUAAGGCCCAGACGUUCUCGUCAGUUCCAUCACACACACAGCUCAAGAUCACCAGACGAUGUGAGAUUCGUCUCGCUAGCCUUGUCAUCCAGACCCUGGUAUAGCACCUUAUCAUUCAGACUCCCGUGUAACCUAUCACCUUAUCUUUUAGAUCCUGACUCAGCCGAGACUUGCCACACAUUUCCGGCUGGUGAUUGGCUUUGAUACCAAAUGUAACGACCUAGUCCACUAGCAAUAAUAGCUCGUUGGGCCCAAAUACCGGCCAAAAUGCUUAAGUCCAGCUAUUAUUAUUAGUGUCUAUGUCUUUUAUAUAUCCAAUCAUAUUUCUAUUCCUAUUCGAUGUGGAUUAUUAGGGUGUGAUGGAAUAGCACUAUUUCAUCAAAAUGAUGAUGAAAUAAUAAAUUUCAAGCUAUUUCGAAAUAGCCGAAAAUAGUAAAAUUUGAUCGGAAUAAAAUAUCUCGAUCACAAAUUAUUUUAUUUAGCGAAAUAGCAGAAAUAAUUUUUGUUAUUUCCGCUUAUACCGCCAAUCAAACGGGGCC
rnacentral:lncRNA from 1 species